UGGGGAAUAUUGCACAAUGGGGGAAACCCUGAUGCAGCAACGCCGCGUGCGGGAUGACGGCCUUCGGGUUGUAAACCGCUUUCAGCCAUGACGAAGCUUUUGUGACGGUAGUGGCAGAAGAAGCACCGGCUAACUACGUGCCAGCAGCCGCGGUGAUACGUAGGGUGCGAGCGUUGUCCGGAAUUAUUGGGCGUAAAGAGCUUGUAGGCGGUUUGUCGCGUCGAAAGUGUAAACUCAGUGCUUAACGCUGAGCCUGCUUUCGAUACGGGCUGACUAGAGGAAGGUAGAGGCGAAUGGAAUUCCCGGUGGAGCGGUGGAAUGCGCAGAUAUCGUGAGGAACACCAGUGGCGAAGGCGGGUCUCUGGACCUUUCCUGACGCUGAGAAGCGAAAGCGUGGGUAGCAAACAGG
rnacentral:rRNA from 1 species